CUGCCAUGCUGGGACAGAUGCAGCUUGAGAGUAAUACAUAGGUUCAGAUUCCAAAGUGGAGGAAGAGGAACUAGAAAAUGCAGGCAGUUGACAGACAUAAUCCUUAAGGUAUGAAGGAGGAUUAUGCUGUCUAGUGGACUUUCUAGGUGUGGGAAGAGAAUGUGAAGGAGGUAACACAGGAGUAGAGAGAUCAGGAUUGAAAUAAGGGAGGGAAGAUGGACCAGCAUAAGCAAAAUGAGGUUCAGGAGAAUCAGAAGUAGAAGGAAGAACAGGAGAAUCAGGGGAAGUAAGUAUAGGAAAGUCUGAGGCAGUGAAAUCAUCAGCAGGAGGAAUCGACCAGCAUCAGGAAAAUCAGGUUCAGGAGAAUCAGAAGUAGAAGGAAGAACAGGAGAAUCAGGGGAAGUAAGUAUAGGGAAGUCUGAGGCAGUGAAAUCAUCAGCAGGAGGAAUAGAAGGAAAAUAUGAAGAAGAAGAAGAAGGGUGAGCAGAAGUAGGUUUAUUUUUAAAAGGGAAAUAAGUUUCAUGGAAGACAACAUCCCUUGAAACAAAACACUUCUUGGUAACCCAAUUAUACAGUUUAUAACCCUUCUUGGCAAAGGGGUAACCCAGAAACACGCAAGAGUGGGCUCUAGGUUUCAGCUUGUCCCUUUGAGUGAUAGGGACAGCAGCAUAAGCAAGGCAGCCAAAUGCCCUCAAAUGAGAAUAAGAUGGAGCUUUGCCAUACAAAAUUUCAUGGGGAGACUUAUGGUGAAGGAUUCUGGAAGGUAUUUUGUUAAGAAGAUAGGUGGCAGUUAACAGACAAUCCCCCCAGAAAGACACAGGUAGGACAGAUUGAAAAAGAAGGGAUCUAGAUGUUUCAAGGAGUGUUCUGUGUUUUCUUUCAACAACACCAUUCUGUUAAGGUGAAUGAGGGCAGGAGGUUUGAUGAAUAAUCCCCUGGCUACUAAAAAAGGAUAUGCCCUCAGUGCUGGAUCCCAGUUCUAAGGCAUUGUCACUUCUGACAGUCUGAACAACAGAGUUAAACUGAGUUUUAACAAAAGAGAUGAAAUACUUAAGCAGGGAAAAAGCAUUGCUUUUAGAUCCCAUUAAGUGUGUCCAGGUUGCCCUAGAAAUAUCAUCAACUAUAGUAAGGAAGUAUUUGUAACAAGAAGAAGUAGAAGUGUGGUAAGGCCCCCAAGUAUCCACGUGUAUUAAUUGAAAUGGUCUAGUGGUACUGAUACUGCUGUCAUGAAAAGGGAGUCUAGUCUGUUUCGCCAUAGGGCAGACAGAACAGGGAAAAGGUUGUUUAGAAGCAAGUGGAAAAGACAUACUAGAAAUAUGUCUCAUAUUUGCAAAAGGAGUAUGUGCUAGUCUUAAAUGCCAAAUGUAAUUCAUAUCAGUGGUAACAGCAUUAUUACAAAUGGAAUUGUUUACAAUUGGAGGUAAGCCAACAUUUUUGCUUUCAGACACAUUGUCAUCAUUACAAAAAUCAGACAAAGCACACACAGAAGUAAAAGGAGAACUAGGAGAGGAAGAAGGGGAAGGAGGCAUCCAAGACAGUUUGUAUAAGCCAGCUUCCUCUUUACCAAGAUCCAGAGGCCUCUUCAGAGAAGG
rnacentral:lncRNA from 1 species